AUUAAAAGCUGGUUUUAAAAAAGCUUCUGUUACUUUAUUAAAUCUUGGGUAGGUAGCCAAAACAAACAGACAGAGAAUAAACAGUGGUACGGAGGAUAAAACAUGAUUUGAGUCUGUCAGAAGUCAAACAGUUCAAUUUCACCUUUUUAUGCAGCUAUCAAUUUGACACUAUCCAGGCACAUAAUUAAUAUUCAAAUUUCUUUAUCGAGACAAGAAUGAUCACAAAUUCUAGGGCGAAUUUAAAGAAGCAAUCGCGAUUUGUAAUCGUCAUUUCUCCGCGACGUUUCUAUGGAUUUCCGAGCGAUUCGUUUAGCGUCACAAACGAACGACGCAAAGGAUCCAAAAUGAAUCGAUUAUCUUCGCGUUGUAACGCCUAUCUGCUUUGCAAUUUUAGGUACUCGCCGCGGAAGACAUCAUCGCACGCACGCAGAUUAAAUAUCGUGGGAGGCACGAGUGGCUCGAUUCGCGCGACCGGCGAGCAUCGCUGCGCUUUUCAAUGAACGAACGUGACUCAUGUUCCACCGCGACCGCGUAAAUAUUUAUCGCGAAUAAUGCAACCGCGUGGGAGGAGGCUGUAUCUUGCGCGCGGGCCAAACUUUGCCUCUUUCUCUCUCUCUCUCUCUCUCUCUCUCUCUCUAUCUUUCCGCUCUCUCGCCGACUCCUCUGACCCUGAGGGACAUUCUUGGCAUGACGCGUAAGAUCUGUCCCGACGAGGAACAAGGAGAACCAAACGACGACGGCCAGAGACUAGAGACAACGGGUAGAGAAAAGCUUAGGCUGGUGAGCCACGGGGUUUUGAGCACGAAGUUUACACAUUGUCAUUUGGGACACGGCGCGACGAAGACGGAGAACAACGAAGAACGGCGACACGGUACGAAGGAAGCGAGAAGCUUCGCUGUUGAGCUAAGGAUGAAACGAAAGGAAAGGUUCGGAUCGGUAAGAGGGACAAGGUGGAAGCACAAAGCGGAAGAGAGAAAGAACGAGAAAGAGAGGAAAGGGAGAAGAAGGAAAAGAGGGAGAAUUUUAGAGAGGGUUAAACGGAGAGAGAAAGGACGACCGAGGGAGAGAAUGGCAAAGACGGAGAAAGGGUAACGGAGUCCUUGGUGGACCACUAGGAUCCAUCCCCACGUAGCUGCCGUCUUCCGUGCAGGGGUUGCUCCGGUGGAAGGGAUACUCAGGGGAAGAUUAGAGGGGUGGGGGUGCUAUAUAAGACCGGCGCAAGGGGGGGAGAGCUCAGUUCGUCCAAGAGAAGCGUAUCGGUCACGUCGUUGCCACGAUCGUUCACGAGAAUCUCAUGGAACACGGGACUUGUCUCUCCACACAUACACACACACACACGACGCCGUGCUCUUGUCGCCACGAGAACAACGAGACCGGACCACGCUCUAGGAUUCAAGGUGUUUUCCACCGCAUUUUCGAAGGAAACGCAGUGCAGCUACAGUAAACGAGAUUUCACGUGCAAUCGGAGUGAAGAACUGGCAACACAAUUAUGUCUGCGGCUUCUUCAUCAACGCGAUCAGCGGACGGUGGCAUCGUUUACACCUGUACGGCUUCGAAGCUUCAUCCAUCGCCGCGAAUUGCUCUGUCUGCUGGAAUUCCUCUCACGGGAAACGCGAGUCUUUCGUACUACCACCAGUCCCCAUGACCGAUAAAGGAGAAUCGUAUGGUGGCUGGGAAAAAACCGUCCGGAAAUGCCAAGCAUCGACUAGUAACCCUUAGCCGAACUAGUUUCCUUUUGAUUCGAACGGAAACUGUCACCCCGCCCGUUUCGGAACCAGUGUCAGUACACCGCUGCCAGAGAGGACUCGCUCGUAGAACGACGAACAGUCUGUUCUGUGGUGACUAAUGAAUUUGCUACGAGCUGCUCUUGCUCGACGACCCCGUUUGACCCUAGGCAGCUUUGAAGCUACGAGACGCGUUACGAACAACCGGCACACGAAUCUACCAACGUGCCACGCAACCAGUCUCCCUCGUGCUCGUUGUGACUCACGAAUGAUUAAGUCCGUCAGCCGGCCCAUGAUUUCGCGAUGGAAUUUCGUCGACAGAUUUCAUCCUUCGAUUAAACUAUCCGAGGUUAACUCUGCGUAUACGAGCGUAAAUUACAAAGUGAUACAAAACGCUCGUAUAUGUUCCAAUACGAGCUUCGUUGUAAAUUUUAAUAUACUACGACAAAGUAUAAUAUACUAAUAUCGUAAAACGAUAGUCGACACUUAUCAAUGUGACGAGAUCCGUUCCUCGCAAGUUGAGGAGAGUCGUCGCGCGAAAGCGUAUUAAACAGAGUUCUUCGACUUCAUUAGGCUAAAGUCGGGCUUAAAUUAGAAAUAAGCACGAGAGUUUCUCGCGUGACUGGAAUCGAAGGUUUCCGAUCGUGAGCACGAGUUGGCUGGAUGCGUGAGCGAAAUUAAUAAUUCCCGAUCGUGCGAUCCCAGCGAUUGUCCAGCAGCUGUGCCGCCUGUCCCUAAAUAAAUUUUGUUUAUUCGAACAGAAGAGGUACCGAAUUUAUUAUCCCGCUUCGCGAUCGUUCGUCGAACUCACAAUUAGUUGCCCUGUAACACGCAUUUGCUUUCUAAUGCAUUGCAUCGGUUAGGCUAUGCUUGCAGCCUGCUCUGACCAAUAAAACAUCUGUAGAACGACGUAUCUACUUUCGUAAGAAUCCAUGUGAAUAUGUUUUCAGCGCCUGGUCUCGUAACUUCUGUGUAGAUCUUCGGAUUGAUUUCAUUUCGCCGACGUAAUGUUAAUUAACAAAGUUUCAAAAUGUAUUAUACAACACGUACGAUAUGCGCGUAAAAGUUUUCGAUAGCAAGGAAGAAUUUCAUUUGAUCAUUGCGACGUAUUCGUCAGAACGUUAGUUGGUCGGAGAACGGUUCCGCCAUAUCCAUAGCCCCACAUAUACGUGCAAUUUCCCUCUUGCCUAUACAAAUCUGAAGAUGAUAAAAUUCAAGACGUACGAGUGAAAUUCACCGGGAACCACAUUGGAAUACCGGGUCCCCUCUAUACGGUGAUCGAUCGUCUAUUGAAAAUUAUGAAAAACCCCCUAAUUCCAGCGAAUAUUCGAAGCGUAUCGAUUCCGAGCUGCACGUACGACUAACGACUCGGUAUCGGAAGAAUUUCAUUUAAAUCGGGCUCGAUUGAAUUGAAAUUUUUCCAUCUCGCGGCUCGCACCGUACAAACGCGGCCGCAACAAUUCAAAAUAUGAAAUAUGGCAUCGUGAUCAAUUUUUCGGUACUCGUAUUCUCGGCGGACGCAAAUUUUUCAUCCAUACCAUACCUCGAAAGAGAAGAGAAGGGAAAGACGCGAGGAAGGGUGAGUCGAACGAUGGGUGUCGAGACGAUUUUUCCAAGGGAUGGGAGUGAUCGAAUGCAUCCUGAGACGUCACCGACGAAGAUCGCCUCGGAUGUCUCCGCGAUGUCGCUCGAUAAGUUUCGGACCAUUUCGGCUGUGCUCGUCGUGAGUGGUGGUGUUUGCAGAGGGGGGACUCGUCCGUGAUUCGAUUCAGUUCUCGUACGUCCGCGCAACAGUUCAGAUACCCAUCGUGUAACAGGGAUUCGGCCUUCCUAAUUGGAGGAGUUUGUGUUGAGUUAAACGAGAUAAACUGAUACAAGUGCGCCUCGAGAUAAGCUUCGACUCUGGCCUCUAUCCCGUAAUUGACCGAAUUCAAAAAUAAAGAGCGUUCACGCAGAUAGAUCGUCUGUUUUCCACAUUGAUUGCUGAUUGCAAGAAGAUAGAGCUGUAGGAACCGGUGGCAAGAUCCAGAAAACAGCUGGCCCGAGAGCGAAGGUCGCCGGCCAUGGAAUAUAAUUAGUCCGCACCACUUAUGGAACGUCAGGCCAACUAUGGGUACACUGUACGCUGAAACGCUCACGCUAGUCGUCACGAGAUCUACUUGGAAAUCGGCCUUUGUCCAACACGUGUGCCCACGGACAGUUUUGUUUCCUUCUUAAAGCGACUCCUUCGUUCUAUCGUUUGGACCAUAUGUCACGAAAGGAACGUCAGGAAAUAACCUGCGCAUUGAUGGUCAGUAUCGGCAAAUAUUUCAAGGGUAACCAACUUUUUUUCCAGGAACUUCCAUGGACUUGCUCUAUUCCUUUAAAGGAUCCUUAAUCGGGUCGAUUGUUCGACGAAGCCUUGGACGAGCCUUUGGAUUUUCCAAAUAGCAGAUAACCGAUGCCAGAGUACAUAGUAAUUACGACAGCUGUAAUUGCCGGUGUAUUAGCCGUUGCAAAUGUCGAACCUGCCAACCACAAGGUUUCCCUCGUAAACCUGGGGGAAGAAGAUCGUCCAAUUAACUGUCUCGUUUAAUUGAAUCUUAUUUCCUUUUCGCUUGGUCCAGUUCCAUCGGGGCUUCCGCGCUUAAUCGCGCAAGCCGAACGCAAUGCCUAGAAGAACAACCACGGACAAAAGUAAUUUCAGCCUGCUCCUGGUAAAUCACGGGACAAUUUAUUGUACGAUAGAAAAGACAGAGUUAAAUGGAGCAGCAUUUUUGUGGUAGUCGUUGGUACUUCAGCCUUCGACAGCUCGCAAAUUGUCGUCGAGAGCCGCUCGAAUUUUGUGAAAACGGACCAUACCACGUUUAAAUGCCCGUCCAGACACGGGGCAUUCUUUCGAAUUUUUCAGACAAUUCGUUUUGCGGCGGAUGCCACGAGGGAGAGAACAGCAAGCAGAAACGAAGUAGAGGAGUUUCGGGAACCAAGGGGAUGCGGGGAGCAAUUCCCCGGGACGAGUCGAGGUGGAGGUGCAGGUAUUCUUUUUAAGGCGGAACACUUUACCGUUGCUCGUUCCACGCUGGUAAUGGAGAAUCUCCCAGCCACCCCAAGGAAUUAAUUCGGGGCUAACGCCGAGACACUCCCCGAUAUCGAGUCACUUCGUUCCACGGGCCAAUGUUAGUAUCUGCUUACCACCCUCUCGGUUAGCUUUUCACCGUACUUAGCCAUUUCGACUCCUUCUUUUCUCUUCUUGUUCAGCGAAACGAUUUCUAAUUUGUCCUCUAAUUUGUCCAAGAUCCUCGAAUCCGUUUUACUGGGUCACUUGAAAAAAAGGAAAGAAAGAGGAUAGAGAAAAAAAAAAGGAAGGUAAAAUGUUCUCUGUAUCUUUCUCCGCCUCUUACGCCCACUGGCUGCAUCUGCGUACGUAUUGGUCGGAUAUUUGGCUGCGAUUUUUGCCAUCAAUUGUGCGCUUAAGCAGUCGUAGUAGCCCUUUAUUGCCAGGCUCGCGGUCUCCAAGAUGAAAAGCGAACUCCUGGCGAGCUUCCACCAGAAUUAAGAGACACUCGAGGCGCUUUUUAAUUAGCACGAAAGGACAUCAUCGGGAAGAGACAGAGCUUCGGUCUAAAUACGUAAUUAAAGCCGUGAAUGGGGUAGUUACAGUAACUGCGUGGAACGUCAUCGACUGCCAGUGAAAUCGGCCGGAAAACGCACUCCUUCGGAAGCGUGCUGGAGCAAUUCCUCUUCCCACAUCCUCUCAAAAACUCAUUCUCAUAACUUUAUCGAUAUUUACGCGUGUAGCUUCUUCGUCGUAAAUGCAAAUCUUUCAGAAAUUUGUUUACAUUCUCGCAUCGAGGUGGCAUCCCUCUUUCACGAUACAAAGCACGCGUUAUUCGCCGCUUCGCAUUUCUCUAAAAUUCUUCCGGCGUAAGUAACAUCCCUGCCCUUCAAAAAAUUUGGAAAAUUCCGCAAGAAAAUCAGAAACUGCCAUUCGAAAACUUCCCCCCCACCCCCUAACUUUACCUACGCCUACUUUAUGCGUGAAAUUUAUUUCAUAGACGCAAAUCUUAUAGAUUCUCGUACGAAGGAGAAAUCACGUCAGGAUUUUCUUCACUAUGCGAAGCACGUGUCGUUCGCCGCAGAAUCUGCUUCUCUAUGGAAUUCUUCGAGUAUAAUCUCUCCCCUUCUGACGAAAAUUCAGAAGAUUCCGAAGAAAAGCGAAAAAUCGAAAUUCGAAAGCCUGGUGUUUGAGUAACUACACACAGGAUGCCUUUGAAAGCAUCUUCGGGCGCACGAAGCGCGCGCGAAAGAGAUGAACGAGAUCGGGGCGCGAGGUCGAGGGAGGCUGGCACAGCUUGAAAGGGAGGGGGAGAACCCGAGGACCGAGAAAGAGAGGGAAAUUCAAAGAUGGCGCCACGCGUAUGCCCGACAGAGAUAAAGCACAGGGGUUAAAGAAAGACGUGCACUUUCGUUGGCUUCCCCUCUCACAGCGACGAAGAGUGACCGGGCCGAAAAGUCCGAAUCCGAUCGUGGAACGGCUCAGUAGUGCGCGAGACACAUUUCCCGACGCGUGUUCGUCGCUCGUAUCGAUAUCUCUCGAUGAUUCACGAGCGUUGCGGCGAGAAUACGCGGCGACCAAUCCCCAGUUCCGUUACAUCAGCAUCCGACUACGUGGGUCCUCGACGAUUGGCUCUCUCUGCGCUGCGCUCGAGUAUCUCUCUCUAGCAACCAGAAAGGGAGAAAAAGAGAUGCACUCGUAUAUUUUAUACUCGCGAUUCUGGCUUAUUCUCGUACGAGAUACAGCGUGACCCGUUCGCUGAAGAAUCGUGCGUGCUUUUCGUGUGAAACGAGAAAUUACGAGCUUUCGACGAAGAGGAAACGUUAGCGAGAAUUCAACCAACAGCCGAGCGACAGAGAAAGGGAAGAGAGGGAGAGCAGAGCAGAGCAGAGUAAGAGGGUAUUUUGGACGCAGAUCGAUCGGUCGCGGCCGCUCUCCGGUUCGCGCCAUGUGACCGGUCAAAGACCAGUCUGCAUAGGAAAAGAGUUACCAUUCAGUUGACAAAUUUCUCGGAGAACGCAUCUGUAUUAAAGAGAAAAUUCAACAUACGCGUUAGUACUCCGCGAGAGGUUGAAAUAUUUGCGAUAGAAUUGCGACAGUCAUUGAAGUCAGCGAGGAAAUUGAAGCCCAGCGGAGACAGAUAAGUGGGUCGCAUUCGCUUCUGACUGCUGAUUUCUGAAUUCACUGUCGCUGUUGCGAAUCGACGUCAAUGAGAUCGAUAUCAAUUAAGCCACGGGCCGUUGAUCGCUGGAAACCCCAUAAAUGGCAAUCUGCUUACACCGGUAUUUCCUGAGAAUGUCUAACACACACUGACCAAGUGUGUUUAAACAUAAUCCAUAUAUUUCCUUCACAUUUUACUUUAAAAAAAAAAAAAAAAAAAAAAAAAAAAGAAAAAAGGGAGAAGAAAAAAUGGAAUUUUAACUCUUACUUCAUUUACUUUGUUUUAUUUCAUUUCAAAAAUUAAUGUAGCGUGUUUGAAGACGUUAUGUGAUCUUUUUAAAGACUAUUGGCACAUAGCGCAUAGAAUUAAGUACGCCAAGCUAUCUGGAAAGUACGUUUCUUUCAUUUCCCCAUGGAAACAUGGUGUUCGCGGAAAUCAUGAUCUGUAUCAACGAUUCCCCGCGGGCAUCGAAAACGAAAGAAACUGGUCAGUCUGGACCAAGGUUAGAAGAUUGCUCGUGUUGUAUAAUAGCCACGCGAGCUUGAUUCAGGGCCGUAAAACUCGGGAACUCGCGAGGGGAGAUGUGGUCUAUUUCUGUGCGCACGUUGAAAGCGGGAAACGUAGAAGCUUAAGAACGACAUGCCUAGUUGGAACCAUAAGUGACACACUCUUUUUAUCUUUUAAUCGUCGAGCCAAACAAACUUCCCAGAUAAAAUACUCGUUAAUUCCUACCAUCAAACCAACCAAUUAUCGAUACUGCUUGUAUCUUGUAUAAUUCAUGUUUCUUUCCAAAAAGACUUAUCCAGAUAGAUAGUAACAUCGUCAUUUUUGUUCUUAAUAUGCUUCCAAAGUUUGAAAUGAAGUUCAGGUUGUUUCAACCAUGCUUGACUUGAAAAAGAGAACAUUGUUACAUUAUAUUUCUAAUUAUAAUUUACAUGUACACGCAAGACGUUUUAUUUUCCAUUAAGUAUACUCUGGAGAAAUCAAGUUACUCGAAUUAGUAGUAACUUGAUUGAUCUGAACGAGAUCUAAGAAUCAUUACAAAUUUUACAAAUUUACAAAUUUUCAAUGAUCUACCAGUUACCGAUAUUUAUCGAAAUAUUGCAUUAACAAAAUUUACUUUCUUUCGUUUCGCUAUCGAUAUUCACGAACUGUCGUUCUUUUUUCCCCCCCCCCUCGCGUUCAUUCUCAAUGUGUGUCCCUUAGUUUACUUUUUCCUGCAUCUCCAGAUGCAACCGGAGAAUCCUGCAGCUUUUUCAUAAGCGAUAAGGUUCUCAUUGGAAUACGAAGAGAAGAUACGUUUUGCCUAACUCGCUCGCCUCGGUUAUCGAAGAACCGGCUUAUCGACGUAGCAGAGCCGUUGGUAUUUGCCGAGUAUAACCGAUAAUUCAGUUACAUUUCACUUGGCCCGUUGUGUUCUGGACACGUGAGUCAUCGGUGUGACUCAAGGGGACGGAAAUCUUGUUUGUCGAAAAAGCACUGGCCUUUUUCAUCGUGUUUCACGGCUUUGAUAUCUCUGUUUGACCGUUGUGUCGUAUUCCGCCGAAAGAGAGACACAGACAGACUCGCUGACAAAAUACCAGAUCGGUGACGAACUAAGUCGGCACAUUCUACAUAAUCAAAGGAUAAACAUAAAUUUCUCUGUUGAUUAGAUAAAGUUACGCGAUAAUAUGCGUUCGUCAUUCAGAAUGGCAGGAGACCAUCAAUUACUUCUAUCAAUGUCUGCCAUUCAUUGAAUUCUUUUUGAGAAAAGGGGAAUGGUUAUAGCAAUAUAUAUAGAAUGAAACUGAUGUAACCAGAGGGUAACUGACGAUAGUAAUAUGCUCGAGGAGCAUAUAAAAGAAUAUUCUUUUUUAGAAUUUACAGGAAAUCACGAGAAGAUUGGAUACCAGGCGGCAAAGGAAGUUUUUGGUAGCCUCGUGUCGAGGCGUUUCGUGCCCAAAGCCCCUUAUCAUUCUCCUGUCCGGUGUAGAAUUGUUAGACGACUGGACGGAGAACUGAUAAGGGCCCGAGGGUCACAGAAUCAUCGUGAGAUUUCUUGCAACACUAAAUGUGGAUGAAAACCUGUGGAAUCAAUUAGGAAAACUUCAUAAUUUAAACUUUGUAUAAUUUUUCCUCGAUGAACAGUAAAGUUUGACACAUUUUUAAUAAAAUUGAACUGCUGAUUAGAAAAUUUAGGCGUCAUUUUGUGUGAAAAAACAAAUGUAAAGGAAAGGGAAAAAUUGUCAACAUUUUUGUAAAAGAAAAAAAAUAUUUAAGAAACAUUAUUCUGUGUAAGUAGUAGAUGUUAAAAUUAAUUCCGCACCUUUACAUGUAAUCGAUUGUCGUCUGUAUACGUUAUGUCAAAACCUUUCCCUGGCUUCCUACGUUUUCCAGGUAUUUUGGCAUAGAAAACCACUUGUAUCUCAACGUUGAUAGCUAUGUCGGAGAAUGAGAUGUAUUUUGUGAAUAAACGUCUAAGUUAUGUAAAAAGGCACGAAAUUAAUUUAUAAGACUAAUGUGUUAUAUAUUCAUCUUUUUACAUUUAUGUCAUGUAAACAAUAGAUAAAUGUAGGUAUAUGUAUUUUUGCUAUUUUAUUAACAAGCGAUAAAUAAUUCAUAUACAUAUAUUUUCGGAUUAACCGGCAGGAAGGGAAUAGGAAACCUAUUGUAUAAUAAAUGUUUAUAAAAUUUAUUCAAUAAAAUUAUAUAAUCAUUAA